GCUGUGUCUGAAUAUGGAGGGUUAAGUUUCUCAAUGCAGCCUUUCUCCUCUUUCAGCUUCACCAACAGACUGCUUCGUGAAGAGAUGUGUUUUAAAAUAAUUUAAUAUUGCAUACAGCCCCACUUAUUUCUGCCUCUCAAGAUCUCAUGCCGAACUGGGCACAGAGAGAUUCUCUUUCUUAGCCAGCCUUUGUACUUGUUUCUCAUGUUCCGAAGAGAAAUUAUUGGCUUUUCCCUCAGGGCUGCCACUCAGGAGCAAGGUGCUCUGUGAGCUUCGUCUGAGAGCUAAAGGAUGGAGUUGUUCUUCUGAUUCUUGGUCUUGUUAUUUAAUGAUAAUUACUACUGAGGAAAUGGAGAAAAUUCUUCAAUCUCAGCUUUUAAAGGAGAGGAACCCCCAAGGCCUGAAGUGGCAAGGAGAAGAAGUAACUGGAAGAAGAGAACAGAGGCCCGUGUAGAGAGGGCUGCGUAACAGUGACCGUGAUCUUCAGCUGAGCGAUGACAAGAUGAAAUGAAUGAGUGAAGUCACGUCUUUAAGGAGGGUGAAUUAACACGACACCAUUCCCUAAAUUGCUCCUCCAGGAAAGGGGCUUCCUACUGUCUAGAACAUAGUGUGUGUUCAAAACUGUUUGUUUGAGGAGGCGAAUUCCAGGAAUAUGGCAGAGUAGGAAGCACCAGGAAUCCAUCUGCCCACCCAGACAACAAUGGCAGUGCAGAAUCUGUCUGAUGUAACUGUUUUGGAACUCUGGAAUCAACUGAAGGCUCGCAACUUCCACAGCGUGGCCUGGACAAUGAGUUGUAGUUCAUUCCAGUCAAUCUUAGCUCUUAGUUUAGCAGCAGCUGCCCAUAGUACACCUCCAGCCCUGUGGUGGGCAACUGUGCAUGUGUUCCUGAAGCAGUUUCCACACAGUUAAAUGGAGUCAUAGUGAGCAGUAAGGACUCUGUCCUCCAAAUAUUGAGGAUCUGUGCUCUGACUGUUGAUGGCUGCUUUUGCUUAGGGAGGUUCACACAUAGAGUUGUGCAGCCAUUCUGGAGCCCACUCGUUGUAAGCCCCUCCUCUUUCAACUGAAGUGACUUCCAGGGGAUUUAAAGGGCUAGUGCCCUGACCUCCUUAUUCAUUUUUUUCUUUUUCCUCUUUUGGAAGAUAGACAUUAAAGACUAGAACAUCCAAAAGCAACUGCAUUUAAAGGGGAACAUAGAAAGUCACUGUGCAUGCCAGGGAAAGGAGCAGGCCAGAAAAGACCUGAGAAGACCUUCAGUUUACACCUCAGGCUGUUGCUCAGCAUGGAGACAGCCUACAUCAAUCAAGAAAACAAAGAUAAAAAAACAAAAACAGAAAACUGCGCGGAAGGGGAAAAACUGAUUUUCAGAGUUGUCACAUUGUUAGAUUCAGAUGUCCAAUUUUCAACAAAAAAUCAGAAGGCAUACAAAAAAACCCAGGAAGGUAGGGCUCAUUAAAAAGAAAAAAGUAAACCAAUAGAAACUGACCCUGAGAAAGAACAGAUGGCAGAUCUAGUAGACAAAGAUUUCAAACUGUCUUAAAGAUGAUCAAAGAACUAAAGGAAGAUGAGAGAAAGUCGAGAAAAUAAUAUGUGAGCAAAAUGGAAAUAUUAAAAAGAGAUAGAAAAACCUAAAAAGAAACCAAAAAUAAAUUAGCUGAAAAUUGCAAUAAUUGAAAUGAAAAGUUUACUAGAGGGAUUCAGAGGCGGAUUUGAGCAGAUAAAAGAAAGAAUCUGCAGAUCUGAAGAUAGGAUUGAAAUUGUUGAGUCUGAGCAACCUCAAGAAAUAUGAUUGAAGAAAAGCAAACGGAGUCCAAGGAACUCAUGGGGCCCAUCAAGUGGACACUUCAUGCAUUGUGGGGAUCCCAGGAAGGGAAGAGAAAAAGAAAAGGGCAGAGAAGUUAUUUGAAGAAAUAAUGGCCAAAACCUCCCCAAAUUUGAUGAACAACAUGAGCAUAAACAUCUAAAAGCUCAACGAAAUCUAAGUACAAUGAACUCAAAGAGAUUCUCACUGAGACAUAUAAUCGAACUGCUGAAAGACAAAGCAGAGAGAAUCUAGAAAGCAACAAGAGAGAAGUGAUUAAUCACAUAUGAGGGAUCCUCAAUGAGAAUGUUAGCAAAUUUCUCAUCAGAAAGUUUAGAGGCCAGAAGGCAGUGGACUGAUAUAUUCAAAGUGCUAAAAGAAAAAAAAUAAAACUGUUAACUCAAGAAUCCUAUAUGUGGCAAAACUUGAUAUAGUUUUGAAAAGUGAGGAGAAAUUAAGAUAUUUUGAGAUAAACAAAAGCUGAGUGAGUUCAUUACCAUUAGACCUGCUCUUUAAGAAAUCCUAAAGGGAGUUCUUUAGGUUGAAGUAAAAGGACACUAGACAGUAAAUCAAAGCCAUAUGAAUAAAUAAUGAUUCCAGUACUCCACUUUUUUUCUACAUGAUUUGAGACAUACGUUUUUUAAAAAAAAACAAUUAUUAGUGUAAAAGCUAGUAUUAUUCUAACUCCACAUUUUUAUUUCUACAUAGUUUAAGAGACUAAUGAAAUAAAAACAAUUUUAAGUUUAUGUUUUUGGACACACAAUGUACAAAGGUGUAAUUUUUGACAUAAAUAAAUGAAAGGGGGGACAAAGCUGUAUAUGAGCAGAGUUUUUGUAUAUUAUUGAAGUUAAACUGGUAUAAAUUCAAAAUACAGUACUGUAACUCUAGGAUAUUAAAUGUAAUAUCCAUGGCAACCACAAAGAAAAUACUUAUUGAAUACAACAAAACAUUUCACUGCAAAAAAUCAAUGAAACACAAAAGAUACGAUAUUAUAGGAAACAAAAAAAGCUAUAAGGCAUAUAGAACAAAACAGCAAAAUGACAGAAUUUAAACUUGCCUUAUCAGUAAUUACUUUAAAUGUUAAUGGGUUAAACUCUCCAAUAAAAAGAGAGAUGAGCAGAAUGGAUAAAAAACAUGAUUCAGGGGGCUGGCCCCAUGGCCGAGUGGUUAAGUUCGCACGCUCUGCUGCAGGUGGCCCAGUGUUUUGUCGGUUCGAAUCCUGGGCAUGGAUGUGGUACCGCUCAUCAAGCCAUGCUGAGGCGGUAUCCCACAUGCCACAACUAGAAAGACCCACAACUAAGAAUAUACAACUAUGCACUGCGAGGCUUAAAAAAAAAACAUGAUUCAGCUAUGUGCUGUCUACUAGAGACUUAUUUUAGAUUCAAAACCAGAAAUAGGUUGAAACGUUGGAAAGGCUGGAAAACAUAUUCCAUGCAAAUAGUAACCAAAAGAGAGCGGAGGUGGCUAUACUAGUAUCAGGCAAAAUAGGUUUAAGAUGGAAAGUGUUAAUGAGAGACAAACAAGGAUAAUAUAUAUUAAUAAAAGUUUUAAUACAGCAAGACUAUAUAACAAUGAUAAAAUUUUAUGCUCCUAAUAACAGACCAUCAAAAUAU
rnacentral:lncRNA from 1 species